UACGGAGGAUCCAAGCGUUAUCCGGAUUUAUUGGGUUUAAAGGGUGCGUAGGCGGACUUAUAAGUCAGUGGUGAAAGUUUGCAGCUUAACUGUAAAAUUGCCGUUGAAACUGUUAGUCUUGAGUGUAAAUAAGGUAGGCGGAAUGUGUUGUGUAGCGGUGAAAUGCUUAGAUAUAACACAGAACACCAAUUGCGAAGGCAGCUUACUGGGAUACAACUGACGCUGAGGCACGAAAGCGUGGGGAUCAAACAGGAUUAGAUACCCUGGUAGUCCACGCAGUAAACGAUGAAUACUAGCUGUAUGCGAUAUACUGUAUGUGGCACAGCGAAAGCGUUAAGUAUUCCACCUGGGGAGUACGUUCGCAAGAAUGAA
rnacentral:rRNA from 1 species